rnacentral:tRNA from 1 species
GGGUCGUUAGCUCAGCCGGUAGAGCAGCGGACUUUUAAUCCGUUGGUCACAAGUUCGAAUCUUGUACGACCCACCA